GGAAGUGAAAGUUUUUGGCUGAAUUUGUACCCUCAUGGUCCUGCCUCUGGAGGUUUCCCAUGCUGCAAUGUGAGCUGGCAACGUGUAACCGUGUUAUCACAGAGUGAUAGCCAUGUCCCCUCUCACUUCUCAAACUACAACAGCAUUCGAGACCAUCAGGGCUGCUGAAUAGAUGGAAGACUGGAAAGUUCUCUGCUGUGGGAACUGUUCAAUGUAUCAUGGAUGCUUACCAGAAUUCUGUAUUUCUAGAUGCCAACAGAACCCCAUAUCUGGUUGUGACAACCAAAACUGUUCCCAGAUGCUGUCCUGGACCUGCUGUGAGUCACAGUUUCACCUGCCACAUGAGGCUUCUGAGACAACUGAGCGGGAAUUAGAAGAAGACCUCAGGACCACUGGAAUCUGCACUUCCUCGACAGGGCUCCAUCCAGCUCAAUAGAUGUAUCAGUUAUCCUGACCUUGAUCAUCCUUCACAGGUGGUUCUCAGUCCCAUACCUGGUUGAUGAUGAACUUACCUAUCACAGAAGGUGGAGUCCAUCCCUGCAUAGUUGCAAUCGCCUUUAAAUCUAAAAAUCUUUAACUUUUUAAAAAUCAAGUGUACUGAUAUUUAAUUAUCUUUACAUUAGCAAUUGAUUUCUAGAAAACCAUCUCUCCUUUCUGGACUCAGAAAGAAAGAAGUAAGGUCCUUGAAUCUAUAGUGGAAGAAGGCUUAUCCAGGCCCAUAACCCAGGACUGCCACUCAGUCCGCAUACUGUCUUCUCUGGAAUCCCAGCUCCUGCACUGCUUCAGAGGCCCACUUUGGCCUGUCUUGCCUAUAAAUAUUACCCAUAGAAAUACCAAUCCAUUUUGAUAGCAGAAAAGUCUCUUUUCUCUUUCUUGCUAUUCUCAAACAUGCUGCCAUGUUACAACCUGCCACAGUCCCCCUAAUUAAUUCUCUAAUAGUGUCUAAAGGGACAUUGCUAGAACUGAAAUUUAAUUACAUUAUGUCAUUGCAUAUAAGUGCCACAUAAAUAAGUAUUAGCUAUUGGAUCAAAACCAAGCAUGUAUCCAUAGCCCUCUCUAGCCUCAGUACUCCAGCCUGACCUAGGUUAUACUCACUACAUUUUUUUCUUUGGUAGUCUUCAGCUUUCCAUGCUUUCCAAUCAAGUAGGAACAUAUAUCUCCUUGGCUCAAGCUCUAAUAAACAUUGGACAGAACUCA